AAACUAACAAGGAUUCCCCUAGUAGCGGCGAGCGAAGCGGGAAAAGCUCAAAUUUGUAAUCUGGCGCUUUCGGCGUCCGAGUUGUAAUCUCGAGAAGUGUUUUCCGCGUCAGACCGCACACAAGUCUCCUGGAACGGAGCGUCACAGUGGUGAGAACCCAGUACACGGUGCGGAUGCCUGAUGCUUUGUGAUACACUUUCGAAGAGUCGAGUUGUUUGGGAAUGCAGCUCAAAUUGGGUGGUAAAUUCCAUCUAAAGCUAAAUAUUGGC
rnacentral:rRNA from 1 species